rnacentral:rRNA from 1 species
CGCUCACGAUGAACACUAGCGGCAGGCCUAAUACAUGCAAGUCGAACGGUAACAUGAGUAGCAAUACUUGAUGACGAGUGGCGCACGGGUGCGUAACACGUAUGCAAUCUUCCUUUAACCGGUGAAUAGCCCGAAGAAAUUCGGAUUAAUACACCAUAACAUAAUAGAGUGGCAUCAUUUUAUUAUUAAAGCUCCGGCAGUUAAAGAUGGGCAUGCGGUGCAUUAGCUAGUUGGUGAGGUAAUGGCUCACCAAGGCUACGAUGCAUAGGGGUUCUGAGAGGAUUAACCCCCACACUGGUACUGAGACACGGACCAGACUCCUACGGGAGGCAGCAGUAAGGAAUAUUGGACAAUGGUGGCAACACUGAUCCAGCCAUGCCGCGUGAAGGAUGACGGCCCUAUGGGUUGUAAACUUCUUUUGUACGGGAAAAACCUGCUCUUCGUGAAAGAGUACUGAUGGUACCGUAAGAAUAA